UACAGCCAUAUCAUGUUGCAACACCAGUUCUUGUGUGAUCACCAGUUAAGCAAUGUUGAGCCUGGUCAGUACCUAGAUGGGUGACUGCUUGGGAAUAUCAGGUGCUGUAAG